rnacentral:rRNA from 1 species
AGUGAACGCUGGCGGUAGGCCUAACACAUGCAAGUCGAACGGCAGCACAGUAAGAGCUUGCUCUUACGGGUGGCGAGUGGCGGACGGGUUAGGAAUACAUCGGAAUCUACUUUUUCGUGGGGGAUAACGUAGGGAAACUUACGCUAAUACCGCAUACUACCUACGGGUGAAAGCAGGGGAUCUUCGUACCUUGCGCGAUUGAAUGAGCCGAUGUCGGAUUAGCUAGUUGGCGGGGUAAAGGCCCACCAAGGCGACGAUCCGUAGCUGGUCUGAGAGGAUGAUCAGCCACACUGGAAAUGAGACACGGUCCAGACUCCUACGGGAGGCAGCAGUGGGGAAUAUUGGACAAGGGGCGCAAGCCUGAUCCAGCCAUACCGCGUGGGGGAAGAAGGCCUUCGGGUUGUAAAGCCCUUUUGUUGGGAAAGAAAAGCAGCAGGUUAAUACCCCGCUGUUCUGACGGUACCCAAAGAAUAAGCACCGGCUAACUUCGUG